rnacentral:tRNA from 1 species
GGGGCUAUAGUGUAGCUUGGAUUAUCACCCUAGCUCGGGGAGCUAGUAACCGGAGUUCAAAUCUCCGUAGCCCCA